UCCUUCUGCCCCUGCGCUCUCUGUCUCUCCCUCUGUCCACUCUCGGACUCUCAAAGCCUGCCAGCUCCGGCAGUCCGGCCUACAGUUACUACUAGUACGUUGGCGUCUGCUCCCUUCCCUUGCGUUUGGGAGACACGGAAAUGGCCCUCCCGGUCCCUUGCCCACCUCUCGCUUCCCCGCGCCCCAGCAAACUGCCGUGCUCGCCCCAGCCGGUGAAAGGCCGUCGAGGACCAGCAGCAGCAAGCAAGAUGGCCUCGUAUGGGGCCCGCGAACCUGCACCCAGGGGCGCCAUGGCCGCCUGGAGACCACGCGGGCUGGACGCGGACGCGGACGCGGAGGGAGGAGGCCGGUGAUCUCUAGAGACCAACCCGGUGAUCUCUACGCCGGGGUGGGCAUGUCUGGAGAAGUUGGGAAUGAAGCGUCUUGGUCCGGGAGCGUAUACAUACAGUAGUAGUUUUUUUUUUCGAGUAACAUUUACAUUUAUACACCAGAUACAAUUAUUUUUUCAGUGGUUAGUAUUGACCAGGGCCGUAGCUAGGCAAAUUCUUUCCGCGGCGAACUGUCAGUUCAGCUGCAGCUGCAAGCGUGAGACCAUUCAGAAACCAGAACACGUUUGCUCUUUGCUUGUCAUGUGAAUGUCCCCGUGGUAUUCUUUA